UCCCCUGCGGGUCUCGAGCUUUUAAGUACCAGAGAAUUCUUGAAAAUAAGAUUUUUUUCCUUUCUUUCCCCCCCAUCUCUUUUCAGUGUUUUUUUUUUUGUCCUCUCAGAGGUGUCUGAGGACUGCUAGCCCUGUAGACACCCCAUCCUGACACCUGUCCCUUGUCCCCAUCCCCCUCCCUUGCCUUUCACCAGAGCUGCAGAGCAUGGCUGUUUCCAAAGGGAUGAUCAAAUCAGAGGCACCUGCACGCUGAUCCCUGCUAAAUCCUGGACUCCAGACUGCAGAAAUAACAGUGAACUGAGAAAUACAGCGAUCGGCCACACUUGUAAUGAACCCCAAUAGCAUCAUUCUGGGACUAUGCUGCUGUAAAGUGAGAUCAGCUGGAGGUGCCGGGGCCAGAAAGUUAUCAGGGAAGGAAGCAUUUUUGCAGCAGGAUGGGAGAAGGAAAGCCCCUGCCUGGGGAGAUGCACCAGGAGCGGAGAGACGGGAGGAGAGCGGCACACAUGGAGCAGCAGCUGCUCCCCCAGCACACGUCCCCCGGGCACUGAGGCAACAGUGGCGAGAGGCGGGCAUCAGCUGCGGAUCUCUGGCAUCGGAGAGGACUUCUCCUCUGGGGGCCGGCGUGGAAGCGGGGCCAGCUCUCAGAGCACUGAGCUGAGGAGGCCCAGCUGGGGCGAGAUGCAUGCACCGAGCUGGCAGGUCUCAGCCUGCUGCAGCCCCAAGCACAGGGCAGCUGAUGCUUGUAGGGAUGGCCAGGGAGGAGAAGUCCUCAGGAACUGGGCUUGCUGACAAAGAUAUGUGGCUGCCAGUGUGAAGGUCUGCUCAGCGUAGCUGUAUGCGU
rnacentral:lncRNA from 1 species